rnacentral:rRNA from 1 species
GGGUUGUGAGGUUAAGCGACUAAGCGUACACGGUGGAUGCCCUGGCAGUCAGAGGCGAUGAAGGGCGUGCUAAUCUGCGAUAAGCGCCGGUAAGGUGAUAUGAACCGUUAUAACCGGCGAUACCCGAAUGGGGAAACCCAGUGUGAUUCGUCACACUAUCAUUAACUGAAUCCAUAGGUUAAUGAGGCGAACCGGGGGAACUGAAACAUCUAAGUACCCCGAGGAAAAGAAAUCAACCGAGAUUCCCCCAGUAGCGGCGAGCGAACGGGGAGGAGCCCAGAGCCUGAAUCAGCAUGUGUGUUAGUGGAAGCGUCUGGAAAGGCGCGCGAUACAGGGUGACAGCCCCGUACACAAAAGCGCAUAUGCUGUGAGCUCGAUGAGUAGGGCGGGACACGUGGUAUCCUGUCUGAAUAUGGGGGGACCAUCCUCCAAGGCUAAAUACUCCUGACUGACCGAUAGUGAACCAGUACCGUGAGGGAAAGGCGAAAAGAACCCCGGCGAGGGGAGUGAAAAAGAACCUGAAACCGUGUACGUACAAGCAGUGGGAGCCCCACCACUAAGCCAGUGGUGAACUCCACAUACGCAUCCUUUGCUGAGGAUACGGUUAACGGAGCGAAAGCGACGUUCAACCUCAAAAGAAGCAGAGGGGGC